rnacentral:snRNA from 1 species
AUUAGAGUAAUGGUCAAGGAAAUUAUGGAAUAGCAAUGUAUGAGAAUAUUAUAUGACCAUAAGAUUAAAAAAUUGAAAGACUAAGAAAGACUGCAUCAUAAAGCUAAUUGAAAAUAUAUAAUAUAAAAGUGUCAGCAUGCUAGAGUUAACAUUUUGUAAAAAAUACAAGUGGUAAAAACUGGUAUCCAGCUCAGACACGAAAAUCUAACAGGGUCUACGGAUAGCUGUUCCUUGGUAGGUUUGCUUAGUGUUGCAAAUCUUACAUUAUUAUGUAAGGGAGUGGUAAACCACUGUUGCUAAAUAUAGGACAGCAGAGCUGGAAAUUCAAAGACUCUUUAUGUUUCCUUUUUUAAGGAUCAAACGAUUUAUGUUUUUAAAGAUUAUUUUAAAAUAUAAGGAGAAAAGGGGGAUGGAAAGCUGUAUGCAUACGAAAUUAUGAGAUACCAGUUUUAUAAACUCCUCCUCAUCCUUCUGCAAUUAUGGUUUUGCCAACUACGGUAAUAUAGUCAUAAACCAACACUGAUCUUUUUAAAGACGUGAGGUUCUGUUUAGUAUCCUUACGCCCCAGAGCCGCACAAUUAUGGCCCUUCCUUUCCACGCAAUGAGAAAGAAGGGCUGUUUCCUUUUUAAUUUACUUUUUAUUAUUUAUUUAUUUACUCAUUUAUGUAUUUUAAAUAUGGAACACUUCACGAACUUGUGUGUCACCCUUGAGCCGCGGCCAUGCUAAUCUUCUCUGUAUCUUUCCAAUUUUAGUGUAUGUGCCGCCGAAGCGAGCCCAGGAAGAGCUGUUUACACGCUAUUUCCGUAACGCAUGGCCAGGGUUAAACCAGUUCCACAGAAAUGUACUUUUCAUCAUGAUAACUUGUGAAUACGAAAAAUUACUUGAAGGCAUUUUUUUCCCCCUUCUACCUUGGAAGAGCAGGGCUAAUACGCCAUUCUCAUUGUUCUUCCUGGGAGUGCUGUACAUCUGGGUCGGACUUCCUAAUGAAAUGGUGGCCUUUCUGAUGAGUCCAGCUGGUCAGUGACAUGGCGUGGCCCUGUUUUGAGAUGAACGCAGCGUGGAGUCAAGGGAGAGAGACGGUCGGCACUCCCUUGAAGGCUGGGCCGUGGGGAAGAAGGCCUCACAGAACAAUUGGCCAAGGCGUGGCCCAAUGAUUAGCAGGUGCUGCCCUCUCUGCCCUUGGCUGUGUUUCCUGGCCAGCGAAGAAGCUUAUCUCAACACGCUUGGAACGGAUGAAGACAUGGAUGUUUCCCAAUUGUUUGACUUCUAACCUUCCUGGGUGACCUGCAUGUCACUAGCUGAGAGGCCACAGCAGAGCCCGGAUGGGGCCUCCCGGCUUCUAGGGUGGAUUGCCAACUAACGAAUAAGGCCAUUUGAUGCCGGUCUCGAGGUUAGAAGUCAACAGUCAGGAUUUUCAAAACAUCAUCUCUUAAAGACGUUUCUAAGUGGACACACAUCAUCCUUACAACUCCUGGAACUCAGAGAGGAAACCGUCUGACUUUGGAGCUGUUGCCAAUGAUGGCUUCAACGGGAUUUUCGUAAUAUUCGAGUAGAGUGACACCAGAAAUUUUUACAGAUCCUCAAAAUCUUCGAAAGGCAUUUAAGUAGUUGUGGCUACAUUAAAUCUUCUUGAAGAAGUAAAUAUCUUUUAAAGUAUGACAUUGAAUUGGGAUACGGGCACGGACACAGCUGAUGCUAUAAGUUUCUCUUCAGAAGUAAAUUAGUGUCAUUUCUUAUGGUAAGUGUCGUAUAUCUCUGUGAUGCACCGUAUUACAUGUAUAACAUUAAACUUUAUAACAUAAAUGGACACUUCCAAGGGAUUCAGUGUGCUAGCAGUUUUAACGUUAUGUAUUUCGUGUAUUAAUUUCAAAAUCUGGCCAACUCAAUCAAAAAAUGCUAGCUAAGUGCCUUAAUCCUGCAAACUUUGAUGAGUCCUGGGUUUUAAUUCUGGCUUCCUACGGUGAGACAAGUAAUUCUGCCAGAUACAUUUUCCAUCCCUAUUGCUAAAAGCACCUCUAAGGGAU